CUUCCAGCUCGGAGCGCGGUGGCGGCUGGAACUGCAGGGGUGGGAAGGCCGAGUGCGAGCGGGAUCCCGAGCCGCGGAGCGCGCUGCCCCUCGCUCCGCCGCGGAUGACUCGGGAGCUCGGGGCCAAGUGGCGCCCAGGCAGCAUCCCUGCCCUCCGCCGUCCGAGGAGAGUUGACGAUAAAACAUUUAAAAGUCUCCGCUGCGGGAAGCCAUGAGCUGUCUGGAUGUUAUGUACCAAGUCUAUGGUCCUCCCCAGCCUUACUUCGCAGCCGCCUACACCCCCUACCACCAGAAACUAGCCUAUUAUUCCAAAAUGCAAGAAGCCCAGGAGUGCAACGCCAGCCCCAGCAACAGCAGCGGCAGUGGCAGCUCCUCCUUCUCCAGCCAAACUCCGGCUAGUAUAAAAGAAGAAGAAAGCAGCCCGGAGAAAGAGCGCCCACCAGAGGCGGAGUACAUCAACUCCCGCUGCGUCCUUUUCACCUAUUUCCAGGGAGACAUCAGCUCCGUUGUAGACGAGCAUUUUAGCAGGGCCCUGAGCCAGCCUAGCAGCUAUUCCCCGAGCUGUUCAAGCAGCAAAGCCCCGCGGAGCUCCGGGCCCUGGCGGGACGGCUCCUACCCCAUGAGCCAGCGCAGCUUCCCCGCCUCCUUCUGGAACAGCGCUUACCAGACGCCGGUGCCCGCGCCGCUGGGCAGCCCGCUGGCCGCCGCGCACUCGGAGCUGCCCUUCGCCGCCGCCGCCGCCGCCGACCCCUACUCACCGGCCGCGCUACACGGCCACCUGCACCAGGGCGCGGCUGAGCCCUGGCACCACGCGCACCCGCACCACGCGCACCCGCACCAUCCGUACGCGCUGGGCGGCGCCCUCGGAGCCCAGGCCGCCGCCUACCCGCGGCCCGCCGCCGUGCACGAGGUCUACGCGCCGCACUUCGACCCGCGCUACGGGCCGCUGCUGAUGCCCGCCGCCUCCGGGCGUCCGGCCCGCCUCGCGCCGGCCCCGGCCCCCGCGCCCGGCAGCCCGCCCUGCGAGCUCUCCGCCAAGGGCGAGCCGGCCAGCGCCGCGUGGGCCGCGCCCGGGGGACCCUUCGCGAGCCCCGCGGGGGACGUGCCCGGGGGUCUGGGCCUCAGCGUGGACUCAGGUAAGCGGGAGAGGGGAUGUGGCAUCCCCGGGCCCCUCCUGCCCUGCGCCCCAAACUGGGCUGAGCCGGGGACCCCAUUUAGUUCUCCUUGGAGACCCCAGUGACCCUGAGGCAUGAAGGUCUGCACACAGCGGGGUUGUGUUUCAGCAGACAGAUGACUCUGUCAUCGGUGUGGACAAAAUGAGAAAGUGGCCGGUUAAUAUUACAGAGGAUUUUUUAAGAAUAAAAUUUGUCAGAGAGGUUCUAGCUCUGUGCUGUUCAGUACCGUAGCCAGCAGCCACGUGUGUCGGCUGAGCACGUGAAACGUGGCCAGGCUGAAUUGGGGUGUACUCUUAAGUGUAUAAUAGACACAGGAUUCAGGACUUUGUCCGCAAAAGGAAUGUAAAAUUCAUCUCAUUAUAUUUUAUAUUGAUUGCAUGUUUCAACAUUGCACACUAAAUAUAUAUUGGGUUAAAUAAAAUAUAUUACUAAAUUAAUUCUCACCUGUUUCUUUUUACUUUUUUUCAAUGUGGCUGCCAGACAAUUUAGAAUUAUACCCAUGGCUUCCAUUGCUUCUAUUGGACAGCGCUGAUCUAGAGUACCUGCUAAGAAUGUAGUUUAAAAUCCUUUACAACUUGAGGGGCACAGAGGGUCUUGUCACCCAGUGAUAGUUACAAGUCAUACAAAUUUGACCCAUGACUGAUAACAACUUAAUUGCCAAAUGAAAUAAGUUUCUUGAAAACAGAAAACUUAACAAGAAUAUGUUGUUAGUGAUAAUAUUACGUCCCUAGCUUAAAGAGUUGAAUUUGAAAGGUACAUUCAAAUAAGGCUUUACUUUUUUGUUUGCUUUAUUUUUAGGGCAAAAUGAAAAAAAAAAUUUGCAUAAUAAAUGGGAUUGUAGUCUUGCCCCACUCUCUGUUCCCUCAGGUGCAGAUGUGACAUUUGUUUGCUUUGCUUUUACUUUCAUCCAUGCCCUUUAGAUGAAUUCUGUGACUUUCACAAUAAAACACUGGUGUUUGUCUUUCUCUUUCUUUAAAUACCUUGUGCCUUCCCUCCCCCACCCCCUUCUCUCUCCCUCUCUCUGUCUCUUCUCCCUCUCUCUCUCUCUCCCUUUUAUUUUCUCUCUGUUUUCAGGUUUGCAGCCUCAGGACAAAAGCAAGGAUCUGUACUGGUUUUAGACAACCCACCUUCUUCCCUCUCGUCGUUAUUCCCUCUGUGGUGCAUCCCUCCUGAGCUGAUCUGCUGACCUUCCCCCUGCCCCUUCCCUUCUGACCAGCCAUGGAGGCUCAGCAUCUGUGCCUCUCACUUCAUGGAUGAGGACUUGGGGGAAGGCAGAGACUUCAAACUGCUCCGUGUAUCGGGAGAACCAAAACACACGCGACAGAAUUUUCAUCUAAAAAUAAUGCCUUCUGCCAAAAGAGCAGACCCAAAGACUCUGAAUUAAGCUCAAUGACUUUUGGGCAAAUCACUGGAACUAUCCGUGGUGAGAUCACUCAGGUGACAAGAUGUCAUGGUUUUCUUGGAAAGAAGGAAAGAAAAAAAGAGACGUUUUGGUGUGAAUAUUUUUUUUAUGCUGGUGUGAAUUAUUUCAUUAAGUAGUGGGAUCACAGCACUGCUGACGUCAAUAUCCUCACAUUGAAAAUGUCUUUGUAUUUGCAUCGAAGACUGUAUGGUAGAGAAAUCAAAAGAAGCCAAUUCUUUCUUCCUCACCUGUAGCCUCCAGCUCCCUUCCUGCCCACUCCCUCCCUGCAACACCCACUCCAGACACAAAGACACACCUUUUCCUUCGGACUGUGAACAUGGAAGCCUCAGCCUGAAUGUGAGUGGCAAGUGGCUUAUCUGGAGCCACCUGCCCAAGUCUUACUGAAAUGCAGCUGUCGUAGGACAACUGUUUAAAACUCCAGAAAUACAUCGACCAAGGUGGCACUUCCCAGUGUUUGGCACAACAAUUGCAAUUGCACUGGAUAUGUUUUAUACAUGUGUGUGUAUAUCAUAUUUUUUACAAAGGACAUUUUAUGAUGAAAGAAAAAACUCUCUCUGCCUUCUCUCCCACAAGUUCUGUCCCUCCCUCUAUCCUCCUCUGGAUGAAAGGGGAAAAAAAAUUAAGCCUCGAGAGACCCCAAUGGUCUCCAAGAAGAACUAGGAAUCACCACAAGGGGAAGAGAUGUCCGUGGAGUCUCGGGUACCUCAGAUAUUCUUCUCAGUCUCUAUGGUCAUGAUUUGAUCACUUUAGUAUUGGGACAGGGGAAGGGGGUACAUCUGUGGGCAAAACUGAAGGUGAUGAAGAAGAAACGAACAUUAAAGAUGUUUGUUUACCACUAGGUUGCUGUGUUAUUUCUUCAAAGGAAAACAAAUGUCUUAGUUUUUCUCUAAUAGAAUAAAAUAAUUUAUAGUAAUAUGACCUGAUGUCAGUAAGUAAAGUCACUUUGUGUAAGUAUUUUUGGUUUUCCAAAGUGUUUGCCAUGCCAUGAAAUCUGAGAACUCCUUUCCACCUUGUAUCAACCUUGGAGAUGAGAAGUUAGGUAUUCCCUCUCUGUUUCAUAAAUGAGAAAAUCAUGGCCCAAGGAAGCCCGGGUUACCUGAUAGUCCUCAUCAAGUAAAAGAAAUGUAUAGGAAAACCGACUUGUGCACCACUCAGUCAGAUACACACAUUAUUCUCCAAAAGAGAAUUAUCGUUGCUUCCUAGAUUCUAGACUCUUAAAGAUAGUAAAGUACUCAGUUUAAAAAUGUUUUUGAAAUCUUGGUUGAUUUAUACUUCGAUCAGCUAGGCUAAGAAACCAAACGUACAACUAAGCCAAAAAAAAAGAAUUUAUUAAAAACUUAAUGGUUUUAUGUUCCCUUGAUGCCAAGGUUGUGUUCUUUCCCCUAAAGAGAAAGAGUUAAUGUUGUGCCCAAAUUGCCCUUGAACGCUGUUAAAGCAUAAAAUAUUAAUUCAAAUCUUGAUCUUCA